rnacentral:rRNA from 1 species
AUUGAACGCUGGCGGCAGGCUUAACACAUGCAAGUCGAGCGGGGAAGUAUAGCUUGCUAUACGACCUAGCGGCGGACGGGUGAGUAAUGCUUAGGAAUCUGCCUAUUAGUGGGGGACAACAUUCCGAAAGGAAUGCUAAUACCGCAUACGCCCUACGGGGGAAAGCAGGGGAUCUUCGGACCUUGCGCUAAUAGAUGAGCCUAAGUCAGAUUAGCUAGUUGGUGGGGUAAAGGCCUACCAAGGCGACGAUCUGUAGCGGGUCUGAGAGGAUGAUCCGCCACACUGGGACUGAGACACGGCCCAGACUCCUACGGGAGGCAGCAGUGGGGAAUAUUGGACAAUGGGGGGAACCCUGAUCCAGCCAUGCCGCGUGUGUGAAGAAGGCCUUUUGGUUGUAAAGCACUUUAAGCGAGGAGGAGGCUACUGGUAUUAAUACUACCGGAUAGUGGACGUUACUCGCAGAAUAAGCACCGGCUAACUCUGUGCCAGCAGCCGCCGUAAAAC